UUUUGAGAACUCUGAAAAAUGCCUCUUGAGGACCACCCUUUCUAAAUAUAUGAAGAUGUGUAUUUACAACAUUAUUAACAUAUGCAUACUAUAUACCUAUAAACAGGGACGGUGUGGUGCAGUUGGGGGAGUAGCCGUGCCAUCAACCUGAUGGUUCCUGGUUCAAAUCUCCACCUUCUAUCAACCUCAUCACGUCCGUUGUGUCCUUGAGCAAAACACUUCACCCUUGCUCCUGAUGGGUGCUGGGUGUACACCACCUUCCGCCGGAGUGCAGCUGAGAUAGGCUCAGGCGUCCCCUGCGGCCCCAAAAGGAACAAGCCGUAGAAACUGGAUGGAUGGAUGGAACUUCAAGUUAUUACAGGGGUCUGGUCCGAUGACCAUGGAUGAAGUACUGGCUGUCCAGAGUCGAGACCCAGGAUGGACCGCUCGUCGGGACCCAGGAUGGACCGCUCGGCUGUGUAUCGGUUGGGGACAUCUCUACGCUGCUGAUCCGCCUCCGCUUGGGAUGGUUUCCUGUGGACGGGACUCUCGCUGCUGUCUUGGAUCUGCUUUGAACUGAACUCUCGCGGCUGUGUUGGAGCCACUAUGGAUUGAACUUUCACAGUAUCAUGUUAGACUCGCUCGACAUCCAUUGCUUUCGGUCCCCUAGAGGGGGGGUAUGGGGGGGGUUGCCCACAUCUGAGGUCCUCUCCAAGGUUUCUCAUAGUCAGCAUUGUCACUGGCGUCCCACUGGAUGUGAAUUCUCCCUGCCCUUUGUGUGUGAGUUUUCCUUGCCCUUUUGUGGGUUCUUCCGAGGAUGUCGUAGUCGUAAUGGUUUGUACAGUCCUUUGAGACAUUUGUGAUUUAGGGCUAUAUAAAUAAACAUUGAUUGAUUGAUUGAUUGAAAAAUCCCCCCUUUUUGG